rnacentral:lncRNA from 1 species
AACAACGACUUCCCUUCUCGCUCUAGGUAAGUUUUUUUUUUGUUUUAGUUUUAGGUGGUUAGUUAGGUGAUUAGAUUAGGUUUGGAAUUAGUUUAGGAUGGAAGUAGAUUAGGAUGGAGUUAGAUUAUGGUGAAAUUAGAAUAGGUUUAGAUUAUUUAUAUAAAAAAUUUGAAUUGUUUAUAACCAUCUAUUGUUUUUGUUUUUUUUCUUCAGAUUGAUGAUGAUGCUAUGGCUGGCAGUAGAAAGAGACUUAGGAACUUUGCGCCUAGAAAAUCUUACGGGAGUACGUUUCUCGGACAGCCGGAUCCAUCAGCUUCUAUCUCCGGCAUAUCAUCCGACUUCUUCGACGAAAUAAACCUUAAUGCUUAGUUUUUUUCGGUUUUAAUUAAUUUGUAUUUUGAAUGUUUUAUAUUAUGGAUAUUAUUAUGUUUACGGAUGUUAGAUAGUUUCUUUUAAUUUUAUCAAAUUUUAAAUAAUUAAAAUAAACUAAAUUUAAAUAUUUAAUUUUAAUUAAUUUAUAAAAUUUGUAAAUAAAUAUAAAAUUCAAAAAUAAAUAAAUAAAAUUGGUCAAAUUUACGACUAAUGAACAUCUAAAGUCGAUGUAAAGUGGUCGUUACC